UACAGAGGGUGCAAGCGUUGUUCGGAAUUAUUGGGCGUAAAGGGCGCGUAGGCGGUGCGGUAAGUCUGUAGUGAAAUCUCUGGGCUCAACUCAGAGUCUGCUGCAGAAACUGCCGUGCUUGAGUGUGGGAGAGGUGAGUGGAAUUCCCGGUGUAGCGGUGAAAUGCGUAGAUAUCGAGAGGAACACCUGCGGCGAAGGCGGGUUGCUGGGCUGAUACUGACGCUGAGGCGCGAAAGCCAGGGGAGCGAACGGG
rnacentral:rRNA from 1 species